GACCUCUCCUCAUCUGUGCACGGAUGAGCGUCAGACUCUGGAGCCCAGGCUGCUGCUUCCUAGUCAGAAGUCUCCUGCAGGAAUGUUGGAAAAUCAGCUGGAAGCUGAUGUUGCUGGUCGCUGGCAUACAUGCUAUUGUACCAACUACCGAAGAGACAUAUUACCAGGUCCAGGAGGACCACCUGCACCAUCUCUUGCUGGAUGAUAGCCACUCUCUGCAGAUGUAGUCAUAGCUGGUAUCUCACCAGCAGAUGCCAUGAUUCAA